GAUGAAGAACGCAGCGAAAUGCGAUACGUAAUGUGAAUUGCAGAAUUCAGUGAAUCAUCGAAUCUUUGAACGCAUAUUGCGCUCUCUGGUAUUCCGGAGAGCAUGCUUGUUUGAGUAUCAGUAAACACCUCAACUCCCAUAUCUUUUUUUGAAAUGGGAGUUGGACUUGAGUGAUCCCAACGCUUUUCCUCACCGAAAAGUGGCGGGUUACUUGAAAUGCAGGUGCAGCUGGACUUUUCUCUGAGCUAUAAGCAUAUCUAUUUAGUCUGCCUAAAAAACAGAUUAUUACCUUUGCUGCAGCUAACAUAAAGGAGAUUAGUUCUUGUGCUGACUGAUGCAGGAUUCACAAAGACAGCUUCGGCCGACUUUGUAAACUCGAUCUCAAAUCAAGUAAGACUACCCGCUGAACUUAAGCAUAUCAAUAAGCGGAGGA
rnacentral:misc_RNA from 1 species